ACUGAAAAAACACCAUCUAUUUUCUUUUGGAAAAUGGGACUGCAUGUGUAUAUAAAACUCAGUCUUACUUGCAUGUACACCUGAGGACACUCAUGCUGGUUUUGAAGAAUCGAGCUGCUAAGUUAUGGACUGCCAAUGGAGAAGGCCACAUGAAAGGGAACUGUGAGCCUCAACUCUACUGCAAGGAACUGAAUUCUGCCAACAACUAAGUUAGCAUGAAAGUAAACCCAAGCUCCAAAUGAGACCACAACCCCAACAGACACCUUGGCUGCAGCCUGUCACACCCCAAAUUGAACAGCCAGGUUAGCUAUGGCUGUAAAGUUGACCCAUGGACAUGG
rnacentral:lncRNA from 10 species